rnacentral:misc_RNA from 1 species
AAGUCGUAACAAGGUCUCCGUUGGUGAACCAGCGGAGGGAUCAUUACAGAGUUUACACGACUCACUAGACCAACGUGAACGUUACCUCACCGUUGCUUCGGCGGGAGGCGCCCGUGUACAUCCCCUGUAAUAGGGGGGCGCACGGCGCCCCCGGACCCCCGCAGGGGCGCCCGCCGGAGGAAUCCCAAAACCCCUCUGGCAGCACUUGGCCUCUCUGAGUUUGUACUGAAUGCAGUCAAAACUUUCAACAACGGAUCUCUUGGUUCUG